GCCGGCUUAGCUCAAUUGGUAGAGCAACUGACUUGUAAUCAGUAGGUUGAGGGUUCAAGUCCUUUAGCCGGCACCA
rnacentral:tRNA from 73 species